UUGAAGAAAAAAUUUUAUUAAUAUUAAUAAUUUUGUAUUAUUUAUUUAAAAUAUUAUUGUUUAAUUAAUUUUAGUGAAAAAAUUUUUUUAAUAAUAGAUGAUUUGUAUCGUGAGAGAAUAAUUUUUACUGGAAAAAAGAAGAAUUUAUUUUUUGUACCUUGUGUAUCAGGGUUGAUUAAAUUAUUAAUAUAAAUUUAUAUAUCUCGAAUUAAAAAGAGUUAAGAUUGUAGUUUUUAAAUGUUUCAUAAUUUUUAUUAAUACAAUUUUAGUAAUGAAAUGUUAUUCGUUUUUUAAUAUAUCUAGUUUUUUAAGAAAUAAAUUUAAUUUAUUUAUUUUUAAAGUUGUUUUAAGUUGUUAAUAAAAAUUUUGAAAAUACAAAAUUUUUUUGGGGAAAAGCUCGAGAGAAUAGGUUUAUUUAAUUUUUAAUAUUAAGUUUGCAAGUAGGAUUGUAAAUUUCCGUCUUUUUUAAAAUGUUAUAGUUUUCUUAUUGUUUAUUAUUAUUUAUAUGAUUAAUAAAUUUUAUAUUGAAAUUUUGAGUUUAAUAGUAUAGUUCAAGGAAUAAUGAUUGAAUUAGUAUAUUUAUGUGUAUAUAUAUAUAUAUGGUUGAAGAUGUUGAUAAUGAACUAGGCAAUUUUAUUUUUCACCUGUUUAUUAAAAACAUGUCUUUUUGAUAAUAAUUUAAGGUCGGGCCUGCUCAAUGAUAAAAUUAAAUGGCUGCAGUAUUUUGACUGUACUAAGGUAGCAUAAUCAUUAGUUUCUUAAUUGGGAACUGGAAUGAAAGGUUUGAUGAGAAAAUAGCUGUCUCUUUAGUAAGUAUAGAAAUUUAUUUUUAAGUAAAAAAGCUUAAAUUUAGUUAAAAGACGAGAAGACCCUAUAGAGUUUAAUAAUUUAUUGGUUUUUAAUUGAGUAUAAAAAUAUAAAUUAACUAUGAAAAUUAUUUGAUUGGGGUGAUUCUAAAAUUUAGUAAACUUUUAUUUUAAAAAACUUAAAUUAAAGGAUAAUUUGAUCCGUGUUUGGCGAUUAAAAGAAUAAAUUACCUUAGGGAUAACAGCGUAAUUUUUUUUUAGAGUUCUAAUCGAUAAAAAAGAUUGCGACCUCGAUGUUGGAUUAAAAUUUACUUUUAGGUGCAAAGGCUAAAUAGUUGAGUCUGUUCGACUUUUAAAAUUUUACAUGAUCUGAGUUUAAACCGGUGUGAGCCAGGUUGGUUUCUAUCUUUAAUAUAACUAAAAAUUUUAGUACGAAAGGACCAAAUUUU
rnacentral:rRNA from 1 species